rnacentral:lncRNA from 1 species
AAAAUAACUUCUGGAAGGAGAAACAGCAGCCAGUUACACUGCAUGGGAAUUUUUGUGAUGGUUGUUCCCACAGGUGACCCUGGCACAACAGAUAGACAUGUGGAUGUUUACCUUGGCUGAUGCUCUGGUGCUUGGCCAUCAAGGCCAUGUUUUUGCCAUAAUAAUAAUUCCAUUGAAGAAUUAAAUUAGAGUUGGAAUGACAUAGAGCAAAUGCUGAUCCCAGAGUUAUACUGUACUGACUGGACUACAGGAGCUGUCUCUGGGCAGUCAGGCAUUAGGUCAUCUGUAUUUGAUACUAACUCUCUUCAUAGGGUUGCUCUCUCUAAUUUUUUACAAGGCAGAAUUCUUGGGAAAGCAAAAAAGGAAAGCAGUUAUUAGAGAAACAUAUAUUAUACAGAAAGAAAAGCCUGGGACAUGACUCUUUUUGCAGCAAGCAGUUGCAGGAUCCCAUCCAUAACCAAUAGCAGUACAAAACUCCCUUCCUUGUGGUGCAGCAGAUGUGGUCAGCAAAGACUUCCAGGAAGACUCAGGAAUUUGCUGUUAGAAGAUCUACAUAUGCAGAUGCAGGUCUUUUCUUCUCUCCUUUGCCCUUGUGUUGGGUAAAACUUGAGUUUUGACUGAUGUAGCAGCCACAAGAAGGCAGGCAGUGAGGGUAAGUCUAUCUACCAUACCUACAUUGUGGAAAGCUUCCUGUGAAAUUGGAUUAGCACUUAAAUGUUGUGUGACUGAGCUUUAUGUUCUAGGUUUUGUACAUGUUCUCAAAGAAAAAGGAAAAAAAAACCACCACUCCUCAAACUCUGUAUUAUUUGGGGACAAUUAUAGUAUUGCCAGAUUAAUUACAGUGUUUCUACAAUGCUCUCCUCUGAUUCUACUAUUAGAACACAGCAGAAAUCAGAGUCUGUUUUGACCUUUAUUCAGAGCCUCCUGUUAAAGUGACUUUCACAACAGAACUCAAUUUGUCACAUUUUAUUUGUACUUUAAUUUUAUUAUUAACAGAUUAAUGAAGCUGGUAAUGGGUUUCCCGAUGCUCCCUUUGGAAAUGUGAACUGUGUCCCUUCCUUACAUCAAUCUGCUGUCAGCAGAUGAAGUGCCUUUGCAAAAUGCUAUUAACUGUUACCAGAAGCAAUUAGUCAAAAUAGCAAGUCAGCUUCAAAAGGAGAGACUCCAGAUUCCCUCAGUGUGUUAGGAAAAGCGCAUUAGUAGGAUUUAAUCUCUCCAGCAGCCACAAGCUUUAGGCCCUGCAGUAGGUGUCUGGGUUAAUGACACAUAGCAAUGUGAAUGUAUCAAACUUUAAUUUGCUCCAAGGAGCAAUGCCAGGUUAAAAAAAAAAUAAAAAUAAAAAAUCAAUUUCUGGUGUCA